rnacentral:lncRNA from 1 species
CAUGGUGGAGGUGGGGUUAUGGUAUGGGCCCCAUGGUGGCGGUGGGGUUAUGGUAUGGGCCCCAUGGUGGAGGUGGGGUUAUGGUAUGGGCCCCAUGGUGGAGGUGGGGUUUAUGGUAUGGGCCCCAUGGUGGAGGUGGGGUUAUGGUAUGGGCCCCAUGGUGGAGGUGGGGUUAUGGUAUGGGCCCCAUGGUGGCAGUGGGGUUAGGGUGUGGUAUGGGCCCCAUGGUGGAGGUGGGGUUUAUGGUAUGGGCCCCAUGGUGGAGGUGGGGUUAUGGUAUGGGCCCCAUGGUGGAGGUGGGGUUAU